rnacentral:rRNA from 1 species
GACGAACGCUGGCGGCGUGCCUAAUACAUGCAAGUAGAACGCAGUUGCGCACGGGUGAGUAACACGUAGGUAACUUCCUCAUAGCGGGGGAUAACUAUUGGAAACGAUAGCUAAUACCGCAUACUGUGAGAUGGACCUGCGUUGUGUUAGCUAGGUGGUGAGGUAAAGGCGCACCAAGGCGACGAUACAUAGCCGACUUGAGAGGGGGAUCGGCCAAACGGGGAAUGAGACAAGGCCCAGACUCCUACGGGAGGCAGCAGGAGGGAAUCUUCGGAAAUGGACGGAAGUCUGACCGAGCAAAGGCGCGGGAGUGAAGAAGGUUUUCGGAGCGUAAAGCUCUGUUGGUAGAGGAGCGGUAACUAACCAGAAAGGGACGGCUAACUACGUGCCAGCAGCCGCGGUAAUUC